AAGCGGAGGAAAAGAAACCAACCGGGAUUGCCUUAGUAACGGCGAGUGAAGCGGCAAAAGCUCAAAUUUGAAAUCUGGUACCUUCGGUGCCCGAGUUGUAAUUUGGAGAGGGCAACUUUGGGGCCGUUCCUUGUCUAUGUUCCUUGGAACAGGACGUCAUAGAGGGUGAGAAUCCCGUGUGGCGAGGAGUGCGGUUCUUUGUAAAGUGCCUUCGAAGAGUCGAGUUGUUUGGGAAUGCAGCUCUAAGUGGGUGGUAAAUUCCAUCUAAAGCUAAAUAUUGGCGAGAGACCGAUAGCGAACAAGUACAGUGAUGGAAAGAUGAAAAGAACUUUGAAAAGAGAGUGAAAAAGUACGUGAAAUUGUUGAAAGGGAAGGGCAUUUGAUCAGACAUGGUGUUUUGUGCCCUCUGCUCCUUGUGGGUAGGGGAAUCUCGCAUUUCACUGGGCCAGCAUCAGUUUUGGUGGCAGGAUAAAUCCAUAGGAAUGUAGCUUGCCUCGGUAAGUAUUAUAGCCUGUGGGAAUACUGCCAGCUGGGACUGAGGACUGCGACGUAAGUCAAGGAUGCUGGCAUAAUGGUUAUAUGCCGCCCGUCUUGU
rnacentral:rRNA from 1 species